CUAGGGUGUCUGGUACGGUGGAGCACUUAAUGAUGACAGAAGUGGGUGCUAUGGGGCAAUAGUGAUUUAGUUCAAUUACUUUCGCAUUCUUGGGUACAGGAACAGUGGCGCACAUCUUGAAGCAACUGGGGACAACAGACUGGAAUAUGGAGAGAUUGAAUAGGUCCAUAAACACUCCAGCCAGCUGGUUUGCACAUACUCUGAGGAUGCGGCUUGGGAUGCCGUCUGGACCAGCAGCUUUGCGAGGGUUAACACGCUUAAAUGAUUUACGUCAGCCACAGAGAACGAGAGCACACAGUCCUCGUGAGUGUCUGGGGCCAGUGUUUGUGGCUCGAUAUUGAUUUCCUCAAAGCGGGCAAAGAAGGUGCUUAGCUAGUUAUUUCCCGGCUGUAGGCGUAAUGCAAGGCAUUAUCACUGGGAUAUGAGAACCAAUGGGUGUGCCUGAGUCUUCCUCUCUCAACUAGUUGAACUUGUUGACUGAUACCAUGGCGGCGGCUUCUAUGGGAGCAGCUGAGAACCAGAAGACUGCAGCCAAGGCAUCACUGGUCCACACCUGCCCUGUCUGUCACUGAGUAGUAUUGGUUGGUACUCGAUGCAGACCAGAUCAAGCAGUACUUUGAGAGCAAGCAUCCCACGUCUCCAAUGGUCUGGUUAAUGUGCAGGCCUACAGAAAGUGACCACACACACUCAAAUGGACCUACAGCUGUGGCAAGAUUCUAACAUCUUUCACACACAGAAGACAUAGUGUAAACCACCAUGUUGUCAACAAAAUGCUGUCCUUAAUGCUUAAAUUGUAUUAUCUAAUCUCUCUUGGGAAAAAAGGGUUCCAAACGGGUUCUUUAGCUGUCCCCAUAGGAUUUAAUGUAGAAAACUCUGUAGAAAGGGUUCUACAUGGUCCCGAAAAGGGUUCUACCUGCAAAAAAAAAGGUGAUCCAAAUAGUUUUCCUAUGGGGACAGAUGAAGAACCCUUUAAGGUUCAAGAUAGCAACUGUAGUAUUUUUGCUACCUUUUUUCCCCCCCAUCUAUGUGUGCUCAAAAUGGACAGCAGCAACAUGGACCAGUUAAAUUCACAAGAAGAGUGUGAUAUAGCUGUGUUUAAGUAUGGGUUCCUUGCUUUGAUUCUGUUUAAUGUGUUUCUCAUUCUCCUGGAGCUGACCAUGUAUUUUAUAUGGUCAACAAUAUUUUAUAUAAAACCUACCUUGCACAUACGUUUUUUCCACAAAUAAACCCCCCACCAAAAAUCACAAUAUGCUGUUUUAUAUGCAACAUGCAACAAUUUCAAAGAUGUUACUGAGUUACAGUUCAUAUAAGGAAAUCAGUGGUUC